rnacentral:rRNA from 1 species
UUGAACGCUGGCGGCAGGCCUAACACAUGCAAGUCGAGCGGAUGAGGGGAGCUUGCUCCCUGAUUUAGCGGCGGACGGGUGAGUAAUGCCUAGGAAUCUGCCUGGUAGUGGGGGAUAACGUUCCGAAAGGAACGCUAAUACCGCAUACGUCCUAAGGGAGAAAGCAGGGGACCUUCGGGCCUUGCGCUAUCAGAUGAGCCUAGGUCGGAUUAGCUAGUUGGUGAGGUAAUGGCUCACCAAGGCGACGAUCCGUAACUGGUCUGAGAGGAUGAUCAGUCACACUGGAACUGAGACACGGUCCAGACUCCUACGGGAGGCAGCAGUGGGGAAUAUUGGACAAUGGGCGAAAGCCUGAUCCAGCCAUGCCGCGUGUGUGAAGAAGGUCUUCGGAUUGUAAAGCACUUUAAGUUGGGAGGAAGGGCUGCUGGUUAAUACCCUGCAGUUUUGACGUUACCAACAGAAUAAGCACCGGCUAACUUCGUG